AAGAAGUCAGGCCGGUUUAAGCCAUAGUACGGUAAGAGCUAUGCUGCCUGUGAGCCCCGUCCAAGGACGUAAAAUGAAGUCAGGCCGAAAGCCACGGCUUGAGCAAACCGUGCUGCCUGUGGCUCCAUCGUGGGGAUGUAAAAACCCGGGAGGCUGCAACCCAUGGAAGCUGUACGCAUGGGGUAGCAGACUAGUGGUUAGAGGAGACCCCUCCCAAGAUACAACGCAGCAGCGGGGCCCAACACCAGGGGAAGCUGUACCCUGGUGGUAAGGACUAGAGGUUAGAGGAGACCCCCCGCACAACAACAAACAGCAUAUUGA
rnacentral:lncRNA from 1 species